rnacentral:tRNA from 1 species
AACAAAGAAGUAAUAUAUUACAUUUAGUUUCGGCCUAAAAAUAGGUUUUAUCCCAUGUUU